AUACGGAGGAUCCGAGCGUUAUCCGGAUUUAUUGGGUUUAAAGGGUGCGCAGGCGGCCAUUUAAGUCAGCGGUUAAAUCGUGGGGCUCAACCCCAUUCUGCCGUUGAUACUGGGUGGCUUGAUUACGGUCGAGGUUGGCGGAAUUCGUUGUGUAGCGGUGAAAUGCAUAGAUAUGACGAAGAACACCGAUUGCGUAGGCAGCUGACCAGACCGCAAAUGACGCUCAUGCACGAAAGUGCGGGGAUCGAACAGGAUUAGAUACCCUGGUAGUCCGCACAGUAAACGAUGAAUACUUGUUUUCGGCGAUAUAAUGUCGGAGGCAAAGCAAAAGCGAUAAGUAUUCCACCUGGGGAGUACGCCGGCAACGGUGAAACUCAAAGGAAUUGGCGGGG
rnacentral:rRNA from 1 species